CCAAUUCAAAUUUAAAAUCACAAACGGCUAUAUUCGUGUCCUAAAUAUAGUUAUAUUCAUCUUCCAUUAGCAUGAAUUUUGCUGGUUUAUAUUUUGCGUGCUACUGGCAUAUGGUCAGAAAGAUGGACAACGAAGACAAGACGGGUUUGCAUUUAAUGAUUUUAAAGAGAAUGAGAGGCGAGUAUAAAAUCUGAAAGAUUCAACCAGGUUAUUCUCUACCCACUCCCUCUUUUUUCUUGCUGGACUUGAUGAAAAAGAUGGACAACAAUUAAUAAUUGUAAAGAGGAUGGGAAGCAAAUUCGACAUCUGAAAGAUCCUUUGCAAUAUGUAGUAGCUAUUGGGAAGCUGUUGGGGUUGGGUUUGAGAACUAUAAGUUUUGUGGUUCAUUGUCGCUAAGGACUGCUUCGGGUUUGUCAAUCUAUCUAUCUUGUGGAACAAAUCUGCUAAAAGUGUUAAUGGUUGGACUGAAGUCUGCAAUCAUUUUUGUAAUCCCUUGGAAGCCAGAUUUUUGGCGAAUUGAAGCAUGGGAUUGGUGUGGCCAAGGGUGGAGUAGGGCACCACCACAACGUGCCCUGAAAAUUUCUUCCUUCCAAUCUCAUUCUCCAUUUCCAAACUGCUCAUGGACUGUAGCACAAAAGCAACUGUAAAUAUGAAAAUUGAAUAUGAUCCACAAUUGUCUUUAACAUGUGGAUUGGCAUGUAGGAUGGUUUGUUUUAUAGGCGCUGAUCAAAAGGAGGAGGACAAUAGAAAGAAAUGCAUUUUUUUAGUAUUUUCAAUGUACUGCAAGUCUACCAUAUGUUAAAGAUUCGAAGUCUACACAAGCUCUGAAAAUGACCAUUUUUGAAAUUUUAAAAAAGAAAGAUGGAAAGCAGCAGUGCCAUUAGGAAGUAGCCCAGACUUACCAGUUGUGAUAUUUGAGCCAAAGGAUGGUGUCCUGCCACGUAAUGUCUAAAGGCUAUUAUCUGUUUUCCUUUAGUAAAAAUGGACAGAACAACCGUGAACUGUAAUAAAAUCUAUAAUGAAACUAAGGACAGGGGAAAGGGCAUACAUUCUAUAAAUUUAUUUAGGAUGACAAUAGAAGAAUUCAUGUUACUCCAAUUUUUCUUCACAUAUGGGAUUUAGAGUUCUCUAUUAGUGUUUCGUUUGUAUGGAUGGUAGGAGGAGAGUAAUUAAUUGUUAGUGGCCUGAAUUUCUGUGCAAGUAGAGCAUCGGUUGCCCUAAACAAUGCAGAGUGAAGAAAUGUUGCUAUUCCACUGCGACCCUUUAUGCUGCUUCACUGUAUUUUGAAGCUCAAUUGGGUAAACAGACAACAUACCAUUUGACACUGCAAAAAUAAAAUGUAAUAUCCACAUCUCA